rnacentral:rRNA from 1 species
AGUAGGAAUACCCGCUGAACUUAAGCAUAUCAGUAAGCGGAGGAAAAGAAACUAACAAGGAUUCCCUUAGUAACUGCGAGUGAAACGGGAAAAGCCCAGCGCUGAAUCUCCAUGGUUAAUAUCAUGGCGAACUGUAGCGUAUGUGUGGUGGUGAUGUAUGAUAUGUACAAUUACAAGUCCCUUUGAUUAGGGUUCCAUAGUAGGUUGAAGACCUUUUGUAAUUGUAUAUAUUAUAUUUCACUACCACACAAGAGUCGUGUUGUUUGGAAACGCAGCACUAAGUGGGUGGUAAACUCCAUCUAAGGCUAAAUAUAACCGAGAAACCAAUAGUAAACAAGUACCGUGAGGGAAAGUUGAAAAGUACUCUGAAGAGAGAGUGCAAAGAACGUGAAAGCGAUUGAGUAAAGCCAUAUAGCAUUACUUGAGUAAAUAAUAAUUUAUUAUUAUUUACGUAACACUACAUGUAUGUGUUAUUAGUAUGUCAUGCAUUGUCUGUAUGGAAAUGUAUGAUUGAAAGUAAUACAUAUAUGUUUGUGCUACAUGUAUAAGUAAUUACCUAUAUGACCCGUCUUGAAACACGGACCAAGAAGUUUAUCAUAUAUGCAAGUCAAUGGGAGGAAAACCCAAAGGCGUAAUGAAAGUAAUUUAUUACUUUUUCGUGUGAUCAUUGUUUACAAUGCGCAACACGGAUAUGAAUAUAAAGUUUACUUUUAUUCAUAAUCUGAGCAUAUAUGAUAAGACCCGAAAGAUGGUGAUCUAUACACGAGCAGUAUGAAGUCAAAGGAAACUUUGAUGGAAGUACGUAACGGUUCUGACGUGCAAAUCGAUCGUUAGACUUGUGUAUAGGGGCGAAAGACUAAUCGAACCAUCUAGUAGCUGGUUCCCCCCGAAGUUUCCCUCAGGAUAGCUUUGCUCAUGGCACAACCAUUUAUACUCGGUAAAGCGAAUGACUAGAGUAUUUGGCAAUGAAACGUUGUCAAACUAUUCUCAUACUCUAAAUGGGUAUGAUCGUUGUAUAUAGUUUAACUAUAUUACAACAUUAAAUGGUAUGAGCAAAUGUGGGCCAUUUUUGGUAAGCAGAAUUGGCAAUGUGGGAUGAACCAAAAGUUGGAUUACAGUGCCAAAGUAUUUACAAAUGAGACCCCAUAAAAGGUGUUGGUUGAUAUAGACAGCAGGUCGGUGGCCAUGGAAGUUGGAAUCCGCUAAGGAGUGUGUAACAACUCACCUGCCGAAUCAAUUGGCCCUGAAAAUGGAUGGCGCUCAAGUAAAUUACUUGUAUCCAACUGUAAAAAUGUAUAUAUUUUUACAAGUAGGGGGGCGCAAUGAUAUGCGUUGAAGUAUACUCCGUAAGGAUAUAUGGAGCUAUCAUUGGUGCAGAUCUUGGUAAUAGUAGCAAAGAUUCAAGAAAGAAACUUGAAGACUGAAGUGAAAACGGUUUUGGCAUGAACUGUAGUAGAUUGCCAGUUAGUCGGUCCUUAAUAAGUAACGAAAGUUUUGAAUAAUUUCAUGUUUACAUGAAAUUUGCUUAUGAAAGGGAAAUGGGUUAAUAUUCCCAUACUAUGAUCAUACACUGUGUAUAUUAUAAAUUUAUUUAUAAUAUACAUAGAGGGGCGGUAACGCGUAUGAUAUCAUGUAUGUCAUGCAUAAUCCUAGCUAGAGAUAUCUUUUCUAGUUUAAAAUAGCUUGACCAUGGAAUGAAUUCAUUUCGAGAUAUGGUUGACGUUAUUAUAAAGUACAUUAGUUUCUAAUGUAUCUAGGCUCUUAUACAUGACCCGUGAAAACAUGAUGGAUCCCUUUAUGUAUGACAUAACCGUACCUAAACCGCAUCAGGUUUUCAAGGUUCAUAGCCUCUAGUCGAUAGAACAAAGUAGGUAAGGGAAGUCGGCAAAAUAGAUCCGUAACUUUGGGAAAAGAAUUGGCUCCAAUAGAGUAGCAUGUAUGGAUUCUUGGGCGGUGGACGUAUAUAUGUUAUAUGUAUAUAUAUGUGGGCGAUUAUAUCAAACAUGUAUAUAUAUGUAUAAUAUAUAUCCGGUCAUUUAGCUCUAUGAAUUAGUUAUUAAUUUAACCCUGCAUGCACAUAAACUCCGGAUUGGAACUGACACGGACUCGGGGAAUCCGACUGUCUAAUUAAAACAGAGCUUGUAGAAAACGUGUAUACGUUCUUACUACAAGUGAUUUCUGCCCAGUGCUCUGAGUUGUUAAAUUAAGGAAACUUGACUCAGCGCGGGUAAACGGCGGGAGUAACUAUGACUCUCUUAAGGUAGCCAAAUGCCUCGUCGGAUAACUACCGACGCGCACGAAUGGAUUAACGAGAUUCCCACUGUCCCUAUCUACUAUCUAGCGAAAUUACAGCCAAGGGAACGGGCUUGGAAAGAUCAGCGGGGAAAGAAGACCCUAUUGAGUUUGACUCUAGUCUAUAUUUGUAGGGGGAUAUAAAAGGUGUAGUAAUAUUGGGGAGACGCAAGUCGACAAUGAAAUACCCAAACUUUUAUUAUUCCUCUACUUAUAUGACACAUGAUUCCAUUUAUAUGGUUUUAUGUAAAAAAUUAACAAAUUUAUUUGUUAAUAACUCUGUCAUAGACAGAUAUAGAUGGGGAGUUUGACUGGGGCGGUAUAACUGUCAAAUAGUAACGCAGUUGUCCUAAAGUUUACUCAAUGAGGACAGAAACCUCAUGUAGAGAAUAAAGUCAAAAGUAAGCUUGAUCUUGAUUCACAGUACGAAUACAGACCGAAAAAUCGUGGCUUAACGAUCCUUUUGGAUAAAGAGUUUUUACUAAGAGGUGUCAGAAAAAUUACCAUAGGGAUAACUGGCUUGUGGCAGCCAAGCGUUCAUAGCGACGUUGCUUUUUGAUCCUUCGAUGUCGGCUCUUCCUAUCAUUACGAAGUAGAAUUCGUAAAGCGUUGGAUUGUUCACCCACUAAUAGGGAACGUGAGCUGGGUUUAGACCGUCGUGAGACAGGUUAGUUUUACCCUACUGAUCUGUUUGAUAUCGUGACAAAAGUCUUGGUUAGUACGAGAGGAACCCCAAGUCCAAACAGUUGGUUUAGUAAUUGCAUGAACAUGUAGUUACAAAGCUAUCAUUUGGUGAUUAACGGCUGAAAGCCUCUUAAGUCGGAAAUCAGUUUGA